rnacentral:rRNA from 1 species
ACUGCUCAGUAACACGUAGUUAACCUAACCUAUGGAUGGGGAUAACCUCGGGAAACUGAGAAUAAUCCCCGAUAGAUCACAAUGCCUGGAAUGGUUUGUGAUUCAAAUGAUUUAUCGCCGUAGGAUGGGACUGCGGCCUAUCAGCUAGUUGGUGAGGUAAUGGCCCACCAAGGCUAUAACAGGUACGGGCUCUGAGAGGAGGGGCCCGGAGAUGGGUACUGAGACACGGACCCAGGCCCUAUGGGGCGCAGCAGGCGAGAAACCUUUGCAAUGUGCGAAAGCACGACAAGGUUAAUCCGAGUGUCUUCUGCUAAAGAAGUCUUUUGUUAGUCAUAGAACCACUGAUGAAUAAGGGGUGGGCAAGUUCUGGUGUCAGCCGCCGCGGUAAAACCAGCACCUCGAGUGGUCAGGAGGUUUAUUGGGCCUAAAGCAUCCGUAGCCGGUUGUUUAAGUUUUCGGUUAAAUCUAUGCGCUUAACGUAUAGGCUGCCGAAAAUACUGGACAGCUAGGGAGUGGGAGAGGUACACGGUACUCAAUAGGAAGGGGUAAAAUCCUUUGAUCUGUUGAUGACCACCUGUGGCGAAGGCGGUGUACCAGAACACGUUCGACGGUGAGGGAUGAAAGCUGGGGGAGCAAACCGGAUUAGAUACCCGGGUAGUCCCAGCUGUAAACGAUGCAAACUCGGUGAUGCAUUGGCUUGUGGCCAAUGCAGUGCCGCAGGGAAGCCGUUAAGUUUGCCGCCUGGGAAGUACGCACGCAUGUAUGAAACUUAAAGGAAUUGGCGGGGGAGCAC